CAAAAACUGUUUGUCUGUAAUAUAACAGAAUGUUCGAAACAUGGAAAGCCGGGAUUGGCGUUGGAAUAUUUUUAAUCCUUUCAGAAAAACCGAAACGGCAAUAAUUGGUCUAGCUAUACAGUAUAUCAUUUUUAUUAACACUAUUUCUGAGCUUUGUGCGCAUUUACAGCAGUGCAGAAGCUACGAUAUAUAAGUGCAUAUUCGACGAAAUUGGUACUAAUUCAAUUGAUAUACUAGGUAAGUGUAUAGCUUCGCCCAGAGGUGCAGUAAGGGUCAUUACUUAAUAAUUCUCCUUUCCAAUACAAGGAAAUCUAAACUUAACCUAUAAGUUUGCAAUUAAUACAGAUGUUGAUAUACUGGCCAUAUAUAUAUAUAUAUAUAUAUAUAUAUAUAUAUAUAUAUAUAUAUAUAUAUAUAUAUAUAUAUAUUAAGGUGAAAAUGUUCUCGAGUGUGUAUUAUAUAAUUUCCAUACCCAGCGUAAGCAGAAAGAUAAAGUCUGCCGCGGCUGGGUCUUGAACCCGCGACCUUCGAAUUACUAGAUCGACGCUCUGCCAACUGAGCUACACGGUCAGACGGAUUUAAGACUGGAAAUUAUGAAAUAUAUAUACAUAAAUAUAUAUAUACACUCGAGAACAUUUUCACCUUAACAUAUUACGGAGUGUACAAUUACACAACUCAACAUAUAUAUACAUAUAUAUACAUAUAUAUUUUUAUAUAUAUAUAUAUAUAUAUAUAUAUAUAUAUAUAUAUUAGUAUAUAUAUAUAUAUAUAUAUAUAUAUAUAUAUAUAUAUAUAUAUAUAUAUAUAUAUAUAUAUAUAUAUAUAUAUAUAUAUAUAUAUAUAUAUAUAUAUAUAUAUAUAUAUAUAUACAUAUAUAUAUAUAAUGCGCUCUUUCAAUGCUAGACAGCUGUUUUCAACGAUAGGCUAGCAAUUCUUUUUUUCGACAGCCGAAAAAUUGAACUAACUUAAUUUAUAGUCAUACUGAAUAGCUUAAUCAGAUCUAAACUGUUCUCUUUGAAGGUGCAAUGCACUUGGAUGAGUCAUUCUAUUUUGUGGACAUUGGAUUUCGUGAUGGCCAGAUUUAUUUAGAACCUAAUUAUUAUAGUUCCUUGUUGGAUUGCAUGCCGGACCAACAGGGGUAUAUAAAUUUUCGUAUAGUCAUGGUAUUUGUGGAGACAUCAUGUUUGUUCGAUUUAGGCAGAAAGAAGAUGUAAAACUGUAAAAUAAGUUACUGUAUGUGCAUGCAAUUUUUCUAGCUCCUUUUUUUCAUUCGAU